rnacentral:rRNA from 1 species
UACGGGGGGAGCAAGCGUUGUUCGGAUUUACUGGGCGUAAAGGGCGCGUAGGCGGCGCGGUAAGUCACUUGUGAAAUCUCUGAGCUUAACUCAGAACGGCCAAGUGAUACUGCAGUGCUAGAGUGUGGAAGGGGCAAUCGGAAUUCUUGGUGUAGCGGUGAAAUGCGUAGAUAUCGUAAGGAAGACCAGUGGCGAAGGCGGGUCUCGUGGACAGUUCCUGACGCUGAGGCACGAAGGUCAGGGGAGCAAACGGG